ensembl:lncRNA
AAACAACGGAAAGAUUUAAUAUUUUUGCAGUGUUUACUUAAAAUGAGGAUUGUGAUUAAGAUUGUUGUGCGUUUCGUUCAAGACAAGUACGUAUUUGUUUUGAAACAAAUGUAAUCCGCCUUCAAACAAUUAAACGAUCAGACUCGUUUAGACUUGAUUAGCUCUAGUUAAGGGGCGUGGCAAUGUGAUUAGCGGGCUUCUCAAUUGGCUGUUGUCUUCGCAGACGUCGCUCGCUAUUGGCUGCGCUGUGGGAGUAGCAGAGAGCGUUUAAAGUACAGUACUGCAGCCUUUGAAGAAGGCAGAGUGAGGUAUGACAGAUGAGGCUGCUCUGCAUGCGAUGUUCUCCGUUUGCAUAGAUGAAAACACCUCUCGAUAUGCAAGGUUAACGUUGGCGGUGGCAAGCUGUAAUGCCAACAUCCCACAGGAUCUUAUGUUGCAUGAAAAAAAAAAAGGCAUCAAAAAGUAAAGGCCAAGGGCAUGCAUGAAUGACGCCCCUCCCCACCUGCUCAAGUCAGCGCAUUGCCCUUGAGAAAUGUCUCACGGCCUUAGUUUUUCAUUUUCCCCCUUUCAUUUACCCCCUUUCUGACAAAUCCCCUGAUUCAGCUGCAUCCAUCAGGUUGAUGCUAGAGCACAGCUGACGGUUUGUUAUCUGCUUGUUUCAUUGUUUUAGUUUUCGAGACGUUGGACCGAAGAUUGACCCUCAGUGAAGCUUCCACCAUGGGAUUCAUGUUUCUUUAAAGAUAUAAUCGAAAAGGCAUAGUUUCACAUUUGAUAAUAUCUUUUUGUGAGGCACAUCUAGUGUGCCAGUCCCAUUGUAUUUCUGUAGUCAUGCUCUUAAUCCUCUAUUGUUUUAUAGUAAAUGCAAAAAAAGGCAAAUAUUUCGAAUCUGGGUAGAAAAUAUGCCAAGUGAAAGCUAGCUUGCUCAGCAUAAAAUGAAAUAUUGAACUCAAAGGACAUGUUCACAAGGUUACACCUUCUCAAAUAUUUCAUAUGAUUUAGAAAAUGUACCCACAGGACGUUUAAUAGAUUGGCACGGUUUCUCCCCUGUGUGCCGAAGGAAAUUAUGCUAUGUGAAAUUGAGCUGGAAUGGUUUUCAUGGUAACUGAAAUAUGAAGCACAUGAAUUCUCCAUAACUGUGAUCUGGAUACAUACUGUAGUAUUCACAUUUGUUUAAUUUUUUUUCAGAUUUGUAAUGACACCAAUUUGAUGAGCAUGAAAUAAUCAUGACUUCAAAUGAUGAACUGGGCUCAUUUAGCCAAAAGUUUUAUUAGUAAAUUAAAAGCAUUCAUGUCUGUAAGUCUCUAAAGCCUUCUAUGUAAUGUGUUUUGAUUGGAAGUCCCAAAGAGAAUGGAAAUAUUUCCACUUCUCCAUCAUGAUAAUGUGCACCUUAUAAUGGAUAAGCUCUCAGGGGCGUCCGUCCAUUCAUGCCACAA